GGUUUCGUAGCUCAGCUAGUAGAGUAUUUGCCGCGUUUGCACAUGUUGUUUCUGGCGCUAGUUCGAAUCUAGCCGAAGUUC